rnacentral:rRNA from 1 species
GAUGAACGCUGGCGGCGUGCCUAAUACAUGCAAGUCGAGCGAAUGACGAGGAGCUUGCUCCUCUGAUUUAGCGGCGGACGGGUGAGUAGCACGUGGGUAACCUGCCUGUAAGACGGGGAUAACUCCGGGAAACCGGAGCUAAUACCGGGUGAUAACGAGAAGCGCCUGCUUCUUUUUUGAAAGUCGGUUUCGGCUGACGCUUACAGAUGGGCCCGCGGCGCAUUAGCUAGUUGGUGAGGUAACGGCUCACCAAGGCGACGAUGCGUAGCCGACCUGAGAGGGUGAUCGGCCACACUGGGACUGAGACACGGCCCAGACUCCUACGGGAGGCAGCAGUAGGGAAUCUUCGGCAGUGGACGAAAGUCUGACCGAGCAACGCCGCGUGAGCGAUGAAGGCCUUCGGGUCGUAAAGCUCUGUUGUCAGAGAAGAACAAGUACCGGAGUAACUGCCGGUACCUUGACGGUACUUGACCAGAAAGCCACGGCUAACUACGUGCCAGCCGCCGCCGUAA